rnacentral:tRNA from 1 species
GCUGCUUUAGCUCAGGAGGUAGAGCACCGCCGUGGUAAGGAGGAGGUCCUCAGUUCAAAUCUGAGAAGCAGCU